CAGGAGACCACUUGAUGUGACAAGGCUCACUGACUCUGAGCUCCAGGUAUGCAGAGUGGGUCCAGUUGGUGGAGGUCUGCCAGGCUGUCAUGUUUCAGUUCCAUCUCCAUCAUCACUGUGAGUCUGCAUCCUUCCUACCCCCAGCAGGGAUGAGGCCACAAUCACCCCAUAUGGGAAUGAAUGUGUCUAUAUCUUCCAGCCUCUCUCUUUCUUUCUCUUUUAUUUAAAGUGGGAAACUGGGGCUAGGGGUGUAGCUCAGAGGCACAGUGCUUGCCUACCAUGUGCAAAGGCAUGGGUUCAAACAUCAUACAGAUAAAUAAAUAAACAGUGAGAAAUCAGCAUCUUGCCUGCAAAGCCAUGCAAAUCACUUGCCACAACCAAAGAUCCUGAUCCAGCAGAUGGGAUAGGUGAGUCAUCUCAAACACAUAAAUUGAGGCAAAGUCAAGGCUAUAUUGGAGUCUGAAAAUUGAAGCUAUCAGGACCUGCCUCUCAACCUAUUUCUGUGACUCAAAGAAGGGCAACAAACUGCAUCUGUUCAAUCCUGACCUUGGAGUGGUGCCAUCACAGACUUUCCUAAGCCAAGGACCUUGAUCCUGCUGUGUUGAAUCAUCUGGCACUCAGCUUGGGUACUUGUUCCAGCCCUAAUAGAAAGGCAUAAAGUGCUUUGCACAGAAUAAUUCAUUUUGGGGAAGAAAGCACACACAGGGUAAGAAAUUCCCUAAGGAUAAUGUAUAUCUAAGAAAUUAAAGUAUGUGAACUGUAACUUCAGCCACAUUUUAGAAAAUUGUUCAAUAUUUUUGCCAAAACCUUGUAGUAUGUGGGGGCCUCUCUAUAUGAGGAUGACUUACUAUUUUAGAUUUUAAAAGCCAUGCCUGUUAAGGAAAAACACAAACAAAAAAAUCCCACCCAAAUUUGUCAUUCCUCAUUCUGUAUUCUUUAUUCACUUUUUCAAGCUAAUCUCUUUUGUUGUAUAAUCUGAUUGUUAACUAGUCAUGGAACAGUAAAUAAAUGCCUGUUUAAUAAAGAACUCUGACCAAGGUUAAAAAAAGUUCCCUAAGGCUGGAAAGCAGGCAAGAGGUAGAAUCAGGGGCCAAACCCAGUGUGGUUAUAGAACUUCUGUUUUCAGCACUAUGUUACCUGCCUCAGAGAGAUGUGGAGACACAGAUUUAUUGGUUCAAGUGUUUGAAUAUAAACUGAAUGCCCAGUA